ACGUCAAGUCAUCAUGCCCCUUAUGUCCAGGGCUUCACACAUGCUACAAUGGCGGUGACAAUGGGCAGCGAAAGGGCGACCUGGAGCUAAUCCCCAAAAGCCGUCUCAGUUCAGAUUGCACUCUGCAACUCGAGUGCAUGAAGGCGGAAUCGCUAGUAAUCGCAGAUCAGCAUGCUGCGGUGAAUACGUUCCCGGGCCUU
rnacentral:rRNA from 1 species